CCUUUGGUUUGUCCAGUGUCUUGGUGGGAGAAAGUAGACAGGUGGUGUUUGUCAUUCGACUGGGACGAACGCAGUCAGGAUUGGACGGACAAAGGCAGCGAAGGACAAGGCAGCGGUCAAAAGGUCCUUAGAAGAAAAGGACCUGUGGAUCUGUAAAUAUUGUGCACAGGUGGGUCUUUGGAAGGAAGCAGGCAUGGGCUGUUGCGCCAGUCAAGGUCAGGAGGAUGUGGACCCGAAACACAGGGCCUCGGAGAACGGCUGCACCAAUUGCUGCAGGAGCACCCGCGGAUGCCUCAUGAGUCCGGAGUGUGGCCGGGCGCUCCAGAUCGCCAGCACCUGCGCCAUGUGCGGCAUGUGCCUUGAAUGGUUUGCCAAUUGCUUCGUCUAGUCCCACGAGGCACAGCAGGGGACGUGGAGCUGGAUGGCACCUGUGGUACACCUGUCCGAAAACGAUCUGCUGGAGUCUGGCAUGAUCGUUUCCUACAUCCAUCCCCUGCUUGUUCUCUCCAUGGUCCUUGGGAACCCAGCUACCCCUUCCCCAGAAAAGCCAGGUGGCCUCAUCAGUAGCUCCACAAGAGCCGCUGAUCACAGGUUAAAGGGUUUCCCUGCUCCCCCGGCCUGGGAACAGGUGGUGCAAGAGGGGAAGAGCUGCAUUGGGAAGGGAUGGUGUGGGUGUGUUCCUUAGUGUCACUAUGUAUGUCUGGGUAUCUGUGUGUGUUUGCUCAAACUUCUGCACGUGGGGGACAGGAAACCCAAUGAGCGCUAGCGCAUAAUUGGAUCUGCGAGCGGCAACCAAGCACACGGUCCCCCUCGACCACGUGCGACCGCAACCGGUCGGACUCCACGCCUGAUCAGGUGCCAUUCCCUCAUUUAAAUAGCCUGCGGGUAAUGAAGGUGGUGACCUUCUGACUGAAAGAACCACAAAGAGUGAAAAGGAUUUGCACACAUCCCUCCCCCACACCGGACAACUCUCUGGUCUGCCGCCUUCCAGCAUCUAUUUUUCCAGACCCUAGAGACUGUGCCUCUUGCAAAACUUGAAUAUUUCCAUGAAGGCUGAUUUCUGGUCUCUGCACUCUACCUACCUGGGGGGAUAUUGUAUUUCCUUGUAUAUUGUUACUUUGAUCUUGUAUUGUUGAAAGGUGAGUUUGGGUUUCUUUCUUGUGCGUCUACAUUGUAAAAUUAAUGUACUGUUAGAAAGUUCCUGGAGGUCACAGAUGCGUCGUAAGUGUUCCUCUGUCGCAAGUGUUUGUGCUUUGAUAGUGUUUGGUGGGGG